rnacentral:miRNA from 1 species
AUCCUAACUCGGAGCACUUAUA